ensembl:lncRNA
GAGAGGAGGAGAGAGGUGAAGGAGAGAGGGGAGGAGAGAGGGGAGGAGAGAGGGGAAGGAGAGAGGGGAGGAGAGAGGUGAAGGAGAGAGGGGAGGAAAGAGGUGAAGGAGAGAGGGGAGGAGAGAGGUGAAGGAGAGAGGGGAGGAGAGAGGGGAGGAGAGAGGUGAAGGAGAGAGGGGAGGAGAGAGGUGAAGGAGAGAGGGGAGGAGAGAGGGGAGGAGAGAGGUAAAGGAGAGAGGGGAGGAGAGAGG